rnacentral:rRNA from 1 species
UACGUAGGGUGCAAGCGUUGUCCGGAAUUAUUGGGCGUAAAGAGCUCGUAGGCGGUCUGUCGCGUCGGGUGUGAAAGCCCUGGGCUCAACCCAGGAAGUGCACUCGAAACUGGCGGGCUUGAAUAUGGAAGAGGGUCGCGGAAUUCCCGGUGUAGAGGUGAAAUUCGUAGAUAUCGGGAGGAACACCAGUGGCGAAGGCGGCGACCUGGGCCAUAUUGACGCUGAGGUGCGAAAGCGUGGGGAGCAAACAGG